rnacentral:rRNA from 1 species
AUCGGAAUUACUGGGCGUAAAGCGCACGCAGGCGGUUUGUUAAGUCAGAUGUGAAAUCCCCGGGCUCAACCUGGGAACUGCAUCUGAUACUGGCAAGCUUGAGUCUCGUAGAGGGGGGUAGAAUUCCAGGUGUAGCGGUGAAAUGCGUAGAGAUCUGGAGGAAUACCGGUGGCGAAGGCGGCCCCCUGGACGAAGACUGACGCUCAGGUGCGAAAGCGUGGGGAGCAAACAGGAUUAGAUACCCUGGUAGUCCACGCCGUAAACGAUGUCGACUUGGAGGGUGUGCCCUUGAGGCGUGGCUUCCGGAGCUAACGCGUUAAGUCGACCGCCUGGGGAGUACGGCCGCAAGGUUAAAACUCAAAUGAAUUGACGGGGGCCCGCACAAGCGGUGGAGCAUGUGGUUUAAUUCGAUGCAACGCGAAGAACCUUACCUGGUCUUGACAUCCACGGAAGUUUUCAGAGA